AGAGUUUGAUCAUGGCUCAGGACGAACGCUGGCGGCGUGCUUAACACAUGCAAGUCGAACGCGAAAGGCCCUUCGGGGCCGAGUAGAGUGGCGAACGGGUGAGUAACACGUGGGCAACCUGCCCCAAGGAGCGGGACAACCCGAGGAAACUCGGGCUAAUACCGCAUGAUUCGCCGGCACAUAAGUGCCGGCGGGAAAUGGUAGCUUCGGCCUCCGCCUUGGGAUGGGCCCGCGGCGCAUUAGCUUGUUGGUGGGGUAACGGCUCACCAAGGCGACGAUGCGUAGCUGGUCUGAGAGGACGAUCAGCCACACUGGGACUGAGACACGGCCCAGACUCCUACGGGAGGCAGCAGUGGGGAAUCUUGCGCAAUGGGCGGAAGCCUGACGCAGCAACGCCGCGUGUGGGAAGACGGCCUUCGGGUUGUAAACCACUUUCAGGGGGGACGAAGCUUCCAGGGUUAAUAGCCCAUGGGGUGACGGUACCCCCAGAAGAAGCCCCGGCUAACUACGUGCCAGCCGCCGCGGUAAUAC
rnacentral:rRNA from 1 species